GGUCACAUCUGCCCUCGCUUCUGGCCUUGGGCUUGGGGCCUUCCUCCCCGGGUUUGGAGCCGGUGCCAGCUCGACUGCAGGCCUGGUCUGGCACUUGGGGAGGGCUGCAGUGUCCGCGGCGGCAUUGCUCCGCAGACUUGCUCUUAGGUGUGAUUUCCUUGUCCAGGAGGAAGGAAUUCUCAGCAAAUGCUCUGGGAGGGCUUUCUUGCUGUGAGCUGUCGGCAGCCACGUUUGGGUCUGAAUCUCCCUGGGGCUGGAGGCUGCUGGGCUGCUAUUCCUGACAUGCUCCUGCCCGUCUACGUGUGGGCUGUCCUGGGCAUCCCGGGUGGAUUUUUCGCUCUUUGCUUUUCAGGAGAAAGGUUUGUCACUCGGCAUCACUGUCCUCAUCCAUCACGGUGGCAGCGAGAGUGGUUAGCAGGAAAAGGGGGAGUCAGUUCAGAUUUUCCUUUCUUCCAGCUGCUGGGAACAUGAAAAGACCUUAUUUGAAGACAAGCUUUCCUGUAUCAGUGAUGCUGAAACCAGAGGUCUGUAGGCAGCACUGCAUCUCAGGGACCACGCUUCCGCCUGGAGCCGCGGCACGGUGAACCUGCAUGGAAAACUGGGGACUCAGCAUAUUCUACUCUUCAGCCCCAAAGAAUUCCUACUUUGAAGGCAGAAAGGGUGGAAGCGUAACAGGGAGGGUUUAACAUGGCUGUGUGAGUAAGUAGCGAGCAUGUGCGGCCUCUAGACGCCGCCCGUGCACCUGACACAGCUGGUGAAAGACAGCCUUCCCUUCCAGCACCCAGCGUGUAAGCCUCCCUCACGCCUUUGGGCCUGGCCAUCUCUGCUUUGCCGUUUCUUCUGUUCCCUUUCUCCGCAGCAGAAAGGGAGAGGGUUGUGCCCUGGAACAGCUGGGUCAGCACUGGCCCCAGGAGGCCCUGCCUCCCAGGGUGGAGGGUGAGGGGAUGGCAGAGUAGAGUGGAGGUGUCCCCUUGUGGCUUGCCAUGCGUUCCCCAAAACCUCUCUGGUGUGACCAUCAGAUUCCGGGAAGGGAUGGACCUCCUGGCGCUGAGAGGCAGGAGACCUUGUGGCUGGGGGUCAGUGGGAGCAGCCCUCUGUGGGGUUCAGCCUACCAGCUUCCAAAGGGAGAGCAUCGCUCUAUUGCGUCUCGAGUUUGCAUUGGAAAAACCCCCACUGAAUGGAUGUCUACUAAUUCAUGCUUUUCUUGUUGACACCGAAGAGAAAGAAGGGCCUCUUAUCACUGGGACAUCCUUGUAGGGGCACCAGAGUAAUCUCAGCCGCUUUGAGUAACAGAAUGAAGUCCACUUGGGGAUCAUAAUGGGAAUUCGUCAUCCUUGUGUCUCCUGAGAUCAGGGCUGCUCGUCACACGGGCCGCCAUAGCUGCUCCUUCCUGACCUCCUGUGCCAGUCCUUACUGACCUCUAACAGGGAGGGUUGUUCGGAGGGAAAUGCCGGUCUUCGUGGUGCGUCUGCCUGCACUUUGCGCGGAGCAGGUGCUCUUGACGGCGACGCGUCUGUUGCUCCUGUGACGAGGAGGUGGCUCACCAGUUCCCCCUUGGCCCGUUUUGCGCCUGGAUGUGCCCUCUUUUGUGGCCAUGGGGCCUCUAUUCCUGUUACUGUCUUUAAAAGAAUUAAGAUAGAUUUUUAUGGGAAAAUGAAAAAGCAAAUAAAAUCUGAACACUUAACUCUGGCUUCCUUGGGACGUUUCAUUGGAAGAAGCCUGUGUAAGUCGGCUGCAGGGCCGAUGAUUUCACCCCCUCUCCUCUCUGACUGGGAGGAAAUCUAGCUGAUUCUCAUCCCUUCGUACUCCCUCACCGCUACCCAAACUCUGGGGCGUUCCCCUGCCUUCCGUCUGUGCUUGUCUCUCCUGGAGGUUCCUCGGGUCCCAGAUUUUGGCCCAUCAACCAGGCCUCGUAGCCUGGAUGCCACUGAGAGGCUCAGUCAUCGUGACAAGUUUCAUCUUCUCCUCUUGGGCUGGAGGAGGGACAGGAGCACAUGUAGAGACACCUGUCUGCCGUUGGGGCGGAUGACCCGUGACCUGCAGUGGCCGUCCGCCCCAUGGUUGGCCCAUGGCCGCGCCACCGCGAGGGCCCACACCCGAGCAGUCGGUCCCAUGGACUGUGCCCUUGUGCCCCAGGUCCGGGAGGGCCUCA